GCGAUGGAUUAAGAGCUUGCUCUUAUGAAGUUAGCGGCGGAGGGAGAGAAACACGUGGGUAACCUGCCCAUAAGACUGGGAUAACUCCGGGAAACCGGGGCUAAUACCGGAUAACAUUUUGAACCGCAUGGUUCGAAAUUGAAAGGCGGCUUCGGCUGUCACUUAUGGAUGGACCCGCGUCGCAUUAGCUAGUUGGUGAGGUAACGGCUCACCAAGGCAACGAUGCGUAGCCGACCUGAGAGGGUGAUCGGCCACACUGGGACUGAGACACGGCCCAGACUCCUACGGGAGGCAGCAGUAGGGAAUCUUCCGCAAUGGACGAAAGUCUGACGGAGCAACGCCGCGUGAGUGAUGAAGGCUUUCGGGUCGUAAAACUCUGUUGUUAGGGAAGAACAAGUGCUAGUUGAAUAAGCUGGCACCUUGACGGUACCUAU
rnacentral:rRNA from 1 species